rnacentral:tRNA from 1 species
GGAGUUGUGGCUCAGUGGUAGAGCACUUGCCUGGCAUGCGUGCGGCCUGGGUUCGAUCCUUAGCACCA